rnacentral:rRNA from 1 species
UACGGAGGGUGCAAGCGUUAUCCGGAAUCACUGGGUUUAAAGGGUGCGUAGGCGGUGUGGUAAGUCAGUCGUGAAAUUCCCCGGCUUAACCGGCGGGACUGCGAUUGAUACUGCCAUACUUGAAUCAGGUUGAGGUAGGCGGAAUGUGGCAUGUAGCGGUGAAAUGCUUAGAUAUGCCAUAGAACACCGAUUGCGAAGGCAGCUUGCUGGACCUUGAUUGACGCUGAGGCACGAAAGCGUGGGGA